CCGUCGAUAGCUCAGUUGGUAGAGCGGUGGACUGUAGAUCCAUAGGUCGCUGGUUCGAAUCCGGCUCGGCGGA
rnacentral:tRNA from 1 species